UUAAGCUGAGAAGUACAGACU
rnacentral:miRNA from 1 species